rnacentral:rRNA from 1 species
GGCCGCGUGAGUGAUUGACGGUCUUCGGAUNUGUAAAGCUCUGUCUUUGGGNACGAUAAUGACNGUACCCAAGGAGGAAGCCACGGCUAACUACGUGCCAGCAGCCGCGGUAAUACGUAGGUGGCGAGCGUUGUCCGGAUUUACUGGGCGUAAAGGGAGCGUAGGCGGAUUUUUAAGUGGGAUGUGAAAUACCCGGGCUCAACCUGGGUGCUGCAUUCCAAACUGGGAAUCUAGAGUGCAGGAGGGGAGAGUGGAAUUCCUAGUGUAGCGGUGAAAUGCGUAGAGAUUAGGAAGAACACCAGUGGCGAAGGCGACUCUCUGGACUGUAACUGACGCUGAGGCUCGAAAGCGUGGGGAGCGAACAGGAUUAGAUACCCUGGUAGUC